rnacentral:rRNA from 1 species
UACAGAGGUCCCAAGCGUUGUUCGGAUUCAUUGGGCGUAAAGGGUGCGUAGGUGGCGGUGUAAGUCGGAUGUGAAAUCACGGGGCUCAACCUCGGAACUGCAUUCGAUACUGCCUUGCUAGAGUACUGGAGAGGAGAUCGGAAUUUACGGUGUAGCAGUGAAAUGCGUAGAUAUCGUAAGGAAGACCAGUGGCGAAGGCGGCUCACUGGACAGUUACUGACACUGAGGCACGAAGGCCAGGGGAGCAAACGGG